rnacentral:lncRNA from 1 species
UUCUAAAGGAUGGGAGCCACUUGGAUCAUCUAUAUGAUCUCAAGAGAGGAACUCCUAGUGUGGUUUCAUUUCUUAACCAUCACCUUUUUGUUUUCUUUAGGACUUAGCCCUUAUUCUUAAUCUCUCCACCCUAACCCAAGCCAAAACCUUUUUUUUGUGCAAACAUUUCACUUGUUUUCAACAUUAGAAACCUAAGCCUUAUGCUUUUGAUUUUC